UUGGCCUCCCAGAGUGCUAGGAUCACAGGCGUGAGCCACUGCGCCUGGCCUGAACUGGAUUUCUAUCACAUGCAACUCAGGAGCCCUGACUCACGAGGAGAAAAGCUGCCCACCCGUGUUUGAAAAUGCGGUAGUCACACAGGUGGAUGAGUUCCACAGUGUGCAGCACGACCUACUUCUAGGGCCAGCCCUCAGCCAGCUGACAACGGAGGCUACUGGAGGAAGAUCGGUGGGGAGCUCGGCCAGAACCAGCUGCGGAGCCCGGGGAUGCCAUGCCAGAACUGGUUCUCUCACAGCCAGACGAAAACGCCGUGAGAGUCAGAUGCAC